CAAGAUCAUACUUCACAGGAUCAUUUCUGUAGUAUGCAUCGUCCCCUCCAGGUGCAAAUCUGGAGUCGUCAUCAGCCACGAUGAUGAAAUUUGUCCAUUUACCAGAGCGUGAGACAGCUGGUAGUUUCCAUUUUUAUGGAAAGGCUAUUUCAGCGACGAUGAUCGCAACCGAUUUUCAUAUCGGGGGUAAAUGGACAGUCUGAGUGGU